CCUACGGGAGGCAGCAGUGAGGAAUAUUGGUCAAUGGACGAGAGUCUGAACCAGCCAAGUAGCGUGAAGGAUGACUGCCCUAUGGGUUGUAAACUUCUUUUAUAUGGGAAUAAAAUGUUCCACGUGUGGGUUUUUGUAUGUACCAUAUGAAUAAGGAUCGGCUAACUCCGUGCCAGCAGCCGCGGUAAUACGGAGGAUCCGAGCGUUAUCCGGAUUUAUUGGGUUUAAAGGGAGCGUAGGUGGUUUGUUAAGUCAAUUGUGAAAGUUUGCGGCUCAACCGUAAAAUUGCAGUUGAAACUGGCAGUCUUGAGUACAGUAGAGGUGGGCGGAAUUCGUGGUGUAGCGGUGAAAUGCUUAGAUAUCACGAAGAACUCCGAUUGCGAAGGCAGCUCACUGGACUGCAACUGACACUGAGGCUCGAAAGUGUGGGUAUCAAACAGGAUUAGAUACCCUAGUAGUC
rnacentral:rRNA from 1 species